rnacentral:rRNA from 1 species
UGAGGAAUAUUGGUCAAUGGGCGCGAGCCUGAAACCAGCCAAGUCGCGUGAGGGAAGACGGUCCUAUGGAUUGUAAACCUCUUUUGUCGGGGAGCAAGAAAGGGUAUGCAUACCCUACUGAGAGUACCCGAAGAAAAAGCAUCGGCUAACUCCGUGCC